rnacentral:rRNA from 1 species
GAUGAACGCUGGCGGCGUGCCUAAUACAUGCAAGUCGAGCGAACAGACGAGGAGCUUGCUCCUCUGACGUUAGCGGCGGACGGGUGAGUAACACGUGGAUAACCUACCUAUAAGACUGGGAUAACUUCGGGAAACCGGAGCUAAUACCGGAUAAUAUAUUGAACCGCAUGGUUCAAUAGUGAAAGACGGUUUUGCUGUCACUUAUAGAUGGAUCCGCGCCGCAUUAGCUAGUUGGUAAGAUAACGGCUUACCAAGGCAACAAUGCGUUGCCGACCUGAGAGGGUGAUCGGCCACACUGGAACUGAGACACGGUCCAGACUCCUACGGGAGGCAGCAGUAGGGAAUCUUCCGCAAUGGGCGAAAGCCUGACGGAGCAACGCCGCGUGAGUGAUGAAGGUCUUCGGAUCGUAAAACUCUGUUAUUAGGAAAGAACAAAUGUGUAAGUAACUAUGCACGUCUUGACGGUACCUAAUCAGAAAGCCACGGCUAACUACGUG